UCCAUUACGCUACAGUAGUCACUCUAAUUGAACGUCAAAGAAAAUGGCAGGGUUAAACGACGAAACAGGCAGACGAAGAAAGUCGCCGGAGUUAUUAUUCCGGUGUACAAUUUCCAUUUUUUCCGGCGUCCUCACUCAACUUGCCUUACUUUUCAUCCCUCUUCUUUUCCCUCUAGUCUCUCUCCUACCUCAAUUUCUCUUCUCAGCUUUAGCACUUGCAAUUGCUAUCGUUUUAUGUCAGCAUAUCAAGCGUUUGCUAGGAAUUCGUGCUUCAGCUCCGACUUUUGUUUUGUUCAAUAUAAUCUUUAUUUGGGCGGUUUAUCUUAGCGUCAUUAGUCAAGCUGUUUCAUUGUCGCUAAAUUUUAUAUUCAAUGCGGAGCUAGGAAUCCUUCUUUUUGGGUUUUUAAGGAUUUUAUCAAGUGAUCCUGGUUUUGAUUAUUCUGCCAUUUCAGCAGAGGGUUCUAUUUUAGAAGAUGGUCGUCAUCUGGAGGAAGUAUCAUCUACAGCAGGAGGCAUAAGCUUGCACAUCUCAAGUGAAGAGACUGCAUUAUCUUCAAGGAGGAUGCGCUAUUGUAGGAUAUGCAAAGCCUAUGUUAUGGGAUUUGAUCACCAUUGCGCUGCAUUUGGGAACUGCAUAGGCCAGAAGAAUUAUGGCCUUUUCAUGUCACUUUUGGUUGCUUUUAUAAUCACCGAGGCUUCAUAUGUGGCACUUUCUUAUCAGUGGGUUAACAGAAAUUUGAUUAUGAAAGAGAAUAUCUCCAAGCUUCAAUACAGCUUGCUCAUGAGCACAAUGAACUUUUCUUUGCUUCAAGUGCUUUGGCAGGUUGUAUUCUUUGCAUGGCAUGUAUAUUGUGCGUGCUUCAAUAUAAGAACUGACGAAUGGAUAAAUUGGAGAAGAUACCCAGAGUUCCAUGUCAUUGUUCAGACUUCACCAGAUCAACCUUCACCAGAUAUGAGGUUUAGAAAUCCAUAUAAUAAGGGAAUUUACUGCAACUUGAAGGAUUUCUUGCUAAGAUGACAUCGACGGUCCAUUACUCAACCACUUUGGAUAUUUUUUCAACCCAUUUCUCAUAGCAUUGCAUUUUCACAACUUGGGAGUACUCAGAUUAACGAUCUGCCUGCCUUGAUCCCUUCUCGUGUUCUAGACCUCGCAUCUGCUACUUUUUGGAGCUCCACAGCUUUUCUUGACAGUAUCUAUGCGUAGGCUGUCCGCAGAUUUUAUGCGUCAAGAAGCAUAAAGUUCUUAGAUUUAGUAAUGCUGAGCAUUUUUGCACUUGUCUUCUUUAGGAGAACUCUUUUGCCAAUCAAUACUCAUGACGGGGAACUUGGUUAUGGUAGAACAAUGAAAAGUAGUAAUAAUAAGCCCUAAGAAAUUGCCUAGUUUACAUGUGCCAUGUCCAGUGCCCAUUUUAUCUGACCUUAACCUGCAGCUGAAGUAUACUUUUGUCACCUGUCCUGUCUCUAUCCAUUUGUCACCCAGACUCUCAUACUCUUCAAGUUUCUGACCAACUUUAUAGGGUAUUUGAAAAAUUCCAUAUGGUUUCUCGUGUUUGUUUUUCUUCUUUCCUUACACUUGAUAGCCGUUGCAAGUGCCUGCAACAACAUUCAAUAACCACAUAGUAUAAAACUUGUGGGUAAUAUUUGAUCCUUCAUAUUUCUUCCCCACAUCCUAUCAUCUCAGAGACUAAUAAACUAAAGAUAGGUGCUUGAUAGUUGAUAGAGCCCUAGUUGCCUUGCAGUUGAUUGUGAUAUAAUUACAGUAGUCAGCAGUUUGUGAUCAUUGUACUUAAUCUUGCGUAUCAGCUCUAGUAAAAUGGACAGGAUUGAAUAAUGGAUCAAACUAGCAAACUAGUACAUUAGAUCCUAACUAUUGCAGCUCAUGCAUUUAGAAUAUUUCUACUGUUCUCAUGGAUCAAGAGGUUGUGUUCGUGCGUCGUGUCAUGCUAAGUCAGACUAUUACUCAAAAUUUACCAAACUAAUCUGAAAUAUUACAGAGCUAUAUGAUAUGAUAACAGGCUAUUUCAUGUGAAGUUUGGCGAACCGUUUUAGUGUCAUGUCAGGUUUGAGUUGUGCUGUCUUGCCUAGUUCAGGAUCCUUUUUCAUAUUUAAACCACUUCCAUAUCACUAUGAUUUUGAUGCGAUGCGAUCACCCUCGCAUAAGGCUACACUAACUAAAGUUAUACACCCUUGGCUCUUGAAUUCCAACUCUCCAAUGCAUGCUUAGCAGGUAAAUUUCUAGAGAGAAAAAGUCGGACGGAAAUGUUCUUCUUUCCUAAGUCUCCUAUCAGGUUUGCUUAGAGUCCCUGUUUACUGCAGGGAAUCUAGCAGACUAGCACUAUAUAGAUUGAAUUGUAUCCAAUAGAAAGCCAGAUAUCAAUAUAUGAUAGUGUAAGACUCCAUUUUAACCCUGCAAUGUAACUAUGUAAGCGGAUCAAUGGCAGUUGUUUCUACACUUAACUAUUUGAUAAUUUCAAUGAUGUGUUGCAUCAAGACAAGGAAUUAUGCUUGGCAUUUCUUACUUAGGCAUGGAUGUAUCAUGUAUGUGAUACUGUUUGUUUUUCUUAUAUAGUAAUAGCGGGUUAAAUUGGAGAUGAAUCUGAGGGAUGUAACUGCAAGUUAUAAACACAGAAUUUAAUUGCACAUGAACACCAUUUUACAUGUACUCAUUUAGUUAGCCCCAUCAACAGGAGGUUCACUUACUUAUAAGUUACAAGCCAACCACAGACACAAGUACACAACAACAAACUUAUUCAUUCGAUACAACGAAAAUCACCAUUUUUACGUUUCAUGACAGAUUGUAGCACCUUUCAAGCAGAAGAGAUGUCAAUACUCUUAACCUCAGGUUUCUUCUCUUCCACCUUUGGAACAGUCACAGUGAGCACUCCAUUCUCUAAGUCGGCCUUAACUUCAUCUAUCUUCGUGUUUUCAGGUAGCCUGAAGCGGCGAAGGAACUUCCCACUGCUCCUCUCAAUGCGGUGCCACUUGUCGUUUUUCUCCUCUUGCUCCUUGCUUCUUUCUCCACUUAUCUGCAGAAUUCUGCCUUCUUCAACCUCGACUUUCACUUCUUCCUUCUUCAGUCCAGGAAGAUCAACUUUGAAGACAUGGCUUUCUGGUGUCUCCUUCCAAUCAACCCUUGUGGUUGCAAAUUGAGACACCUCACGAGCCGAGGCGGGUGCAUUGGCAAGGGUUGAUGUUAAAAUGCCAUGAAAUGGAUCCCAAGUGUCUAAGGAAAAUGGAUCAAAGACAUUGGUUUUUCGGCUACCGAAGAAGCUUGGGAUGAGUGACAUCUUUGGAGGAUGGUUUUAAGCUGAGCACUGGUGAUUAAGGAUUAGUGAUUGAGUUAUAUGGAUAGAAUGCUUUGGUAUUUUCUGUGUUGUUGAUAGAACUGAAACUGCAUUGCAUUUAUAUAGAGACGCAGUAAGAUUAUCUCGGAC